CAUCUCAUGUCUUUAUUUUCCUUCCUAGUCCUGGACUCUAGCCAAGCCAUGUGCAUUAUAUAAAAAUUAUACCAAAGGUGUCCUGGCCUUUACUAGUAGGCCAAGAGUUAAAAAAACCAGUAGGGGAGGAACACUGCUGCCCUUUUCUUCACCACGUGUCUGCACGGUUAUGCGAUUUUGAAUGUUAAUCUGUGAUUAGCAGGACCAGCUGCACUGCACAGCUUGAUUUUUGGUCCCAAGGCCAAGAUAUAAAAUGAAACUUACAUGGGCAGUUGCUAAAGUAAAGAUUAAAGAGUUGGUCAAAUAAUGGCUCGACCUUCUAGUCUGUGGGCGUGACCAUCAUUUUGAGAGAAGAAGACGAUACAUUUCUUCCAUUUUUAUGUUGCUAAAUAUGGUAGUCUCAUGCUCUCAGG
rnacentral:misc_RNA from 1 species